rnacentral:rRNA from 1 species
UUAAUUGAAGAGUUUGAUCAUGGCUCAGAUUGAACGCUGGCGGCAGGCCUAACACAUGCAAGUCGAGCGGUAACAGAGAGAAGCUUGCUUCUCUGCUGACGAGCGGCGGACGGGUGAGUAAUACUUGGGAAUUUGCCUUUAGGCGGGGGACAACCACGGGAAACUGUGGCUAAUACCGCAUAAUGUCUACGGACCAAAGUGGGGGACCUUCGGGCCUCACACCUAAAGAUGAGCCCAAGCGGGAUUAGCUAG